rnacentral:rRNA from 1 species
GACGUAGGGGGCAAGCGUUGUUCGGAAUUAUUGGGCGUAAAGCGCUCGUAGGCGGGACUGGAAGUCCGUGUUGAAAGACCUCGGCUCAACUGAGGGACCGGCUCGGAUACUCUAGUUCUUGAGGCAAUCAGAGGGUGAUGGAAUUCCCGGUGUAGCGGUGAAAUGCGUAGAUAUCAAGUGGAACACCAGUGGCGAAGGCGAGUCCCUGGACAACUCCUGACACUGAGGCACGAAAGCUAGGGGAGCAAACAGG